rnacentral:rRNA from 1 species
AGAUUGAACGCUGGCGGCAGGCUUAACACAUGCAAGUCGAGCGGAGAGAGGUAGCUUGCUACUGAUCUUAGCGGCGGACGGGUGAGUAAUGCUUAGGAAUCUGCCUAUUAGUGGGGGACAACAUUUCGAAAGGAAUGCUAAUACCGCAUACGUCCUACGGGAGAAAGCAGGGGAUCUUCGGACCUUGCGCUAAUAGAUGAGCCUAAGUCGGAUUAGCUAGUUGGUGGGGUAAAGGCCUACCAAGGCGACGAUCUGUAGCGGGUCUGAGAGGAUGAUCCGCCACACUGGGACUGAGACACGGCCCAGACUCCUACGGGAGGCAGCAGUGGGGAAUAUUGGACAAUGGGCGCAAGCCUGAUCCAGCCAUGCCGCGUGUGUGAAGAAGGCCUUAUGGUUGUAAAGCACUUUAAGCGAGGAGGAGGCUACUUUAGAUAAUACCUAGAGAUAGUGGACGUUACUCGCAGAAUAAGCACCGGCUAACUCUGUGCCAGCAGCCGCGGUAAUACAGAGGGUGCAAGCGUUAAUCGGAUUUACUGGGCGUAAAGCGCGCGUAGGCGGCUAAUUAAGUCAAAUGUGAAAUCCCCGAGCUUAACUUGGGAAUUGCAUUCGAUACUGGUUAGCUAGAGUGUGGGAGAGGAUGGUAGAAUUCCAGGUGUAGCGGUGAAAUGCGUAGAGAUCUGGAGGAAUACCGAUGGCGAAGGCAGCCAUCUGGCCUAACACUGACGCUGAGGUGCGAAAGCAUGGGGAGCAAACAGGAUUAGAUACCCUGGUAGUCCAUGCCGUAAACGAUGUCUACUAGCCGUUGGGGCCUUUGAGGCUUUAGUGGCGCAGCUAACGCGAUAAGUAGACCG